ensembl:lncRNA
UUUGGUGGUAAAUAGCAGGUAUUUAUUUGAAAUGAAAAAAAUACUUCAGUACCUGAACUAUUGCAUUUAAUCAUGUAUUGUUGUAAUUGUGUUACUCUACCUUUUUGCAUUGGAGACAAAUAUACAAUGAACAUUCAGAUAUCACAGAUUGCACACUAGAUAGUAAAUCGUCAGGCCUUUUACGUAACCACCAAAAAACAAAUAUUGGAUUCUGCAAUAUAGUACAAAAUUCCACACUCCAGUCUUAGCCAGUUAUCUUCAAUUUACUCCUGAUGCUGUACAAAUAAAUGGCCAUUCAACUAGGGCUUACAAGUUAAUAACAGGACAAAAAAAAUAUACAUUGCACUGACACAAAAAGUCAGCUGUGUUAAUAGUCAUGCAACAAGUAACCAAACUUGCUGAAAUUAAAAAUACUUUCUAAAAACAGUUUUAACUGCAUAAGUAUUUUAUACACAGUUCAUUUACUGAAACAAAAGGAGUCUUUAAAUGAUACAAAGCAAAUAUAAGUUUCUACCAAUUUUAUACAUAAGAAAGUGCAAAAUAACUUAUCUAAAGUGUUUUGCUAUUGAUGAACGUGGGCUGGAGGCAGCCAACCCCCUCUCAUAAGCAUGACAUUACAGUUGCACACUACAUACGAAUGUUAAGAGUACAUGAAUAAGUAUACUACAAAGAACAAGGCAGGAGAAGACAUGUGAGGUACUUGCAGAGAAUACAGUCUACUAAUGUUAGUGUACAUGAGUAUAUUUUCGCUCAACAGAUUUUUACAUGGAAAACAAAGCAAGUAUUUGCAUUAGAAGCUUGAAAGAAAUGGAAAAAACCCCACUCCCAAGUGAACAAAACAGUUGCCCACAGCACCAGCUGCCAGAGGAAAUAAGAGCAGGUGUGUUUUUUCCCCUCCACCUCCUACAAGCAAGAACAUGGGUUUUGGGACAGGGCCCCCGAAGAAUUAAGUCAAGAGGGCUGUGGUGAUUUAUUUCCAAUGUGUAAACUGGGACUCACCUCCUCACUACUGAACUUGUAAGGAAUAGUGACCUUGAUUUUUUUAGUAUGCUGCCAAACAUCAAAACCAUUGAACAACACCCCUACAACGUGCUUAUGUAGCUGAACACAGCCAACUACCUCUUCACUGAUGGCCCACUAUCUUCAUGACCCCCAUUAGUGCUAUAUGCCAACUGUUUGCUUUAGUGUUUAAAUUCUAUCAGUGUUAUUGUCAUAAAUCUAGUUUUUAUCAGGAUUUGAUUAUGCGGCUGUACAAGUUCUAGUCUGUAGAAAAGAAGACUUCCCUAAAUUUCGUUUUGAAAUCUGGAGGCAAGGGGAAGAAAACUCUGUGGACUCAAAGGCAUUUCAGAGUUGUUAAAAUAGCCUUUUCUUCAAACCGAAAACGUUAAGGCCACUAGCCUGUCUUCUGAACUAUGCUGGUUUCGCAUCAUUUUGGGAAGGGUGAAGGCAACGUUAGAGAGAACAGCUGAACACAGGAAUUCCAGUGCUCCGCACAUGCUUACUGAGGACCUCCUUCCUGUUUCUAGGGACAAGUCUGUCAGGGUAGCCAUGCAGCAUAGCUACUUGAUCAUCACUCUUUGGAUCUAUUUGGGUCAGCUAAUCUCAACAAACCUGCAUUUACUCAACAGUGUGCAAGGGCUCUAAAGAAGCCUUUCUGUUCAUUUGGGGACCUAGUAUACAUACCAAAACAGGAAUAUAUCUCAUUUUACAGACCAGCACAUACAUAAUAAACAAACAUGUAUCAAAAUACAUAUUUAACCUUCAGUGCAUAAACAUGUGAUACCAGGGUAAAUAGUAAGUGGUCAGGAUUAACAAAUUAUUCACCGCUAAAGACUCAAAUCAAGAGAAGACAGAUGUGUCCCUGCAGUGCCAAGGACCUUCUGAAGGGGCUCACACCACCACAGAGGGUCUGGCACUUUUGAUGGUGCAAUUCUGACAACAGUGCCGGUUUUAACCAUUUGCUGUCCCAGGGCCAGAGUCUGCCCAAAUCAUCCCGAGUGAAGGAUAAUCUCGUCUUGAGUGAAGACACUCACUUAAGUACCAGCAGAGCAAAAGCAGGGCCACCUAUCUUCUAUUGGUUUGGGUCAUAUCCUUACCGCUAUUUAAAAGAAUCAUUGUGAAUAUACCUAGAUCUAGAUCAGUUUGUCACCCAUUUACAAAAUAUAUAUACAUACAUUAAAAAAACAAAACCAAACCAAACACCAGCCUGUCCCC